CAGGGAAUAGUUUAAUUAGAAUAUCAGCUUUGGGUGCUGAUGGAGGAACUGUUGUUUCUUCCUUGA
rnacentral:tRNA from 1 species